UACGUAGGGGGCUAGCGUUGUCCGGAUUUAUUGGGCGUAAAGAGCGUGUAGGCGGCCAGGUAGGUCCGUUGUGAAAACUCGAGGCUCAACCUCGAGACGUCGGCGGAAACCCUCUGGCUAGAGUCCGGAAGAGGAGAGUGGAAUUCCUGGUGUAGCGGUGAAAUGCGCAGAUAUCAGGAAGAACACCCGUGGCGAAGGCGGCUCUCUGGGACGGUACUGACGCUGAGGAGCGAAAGUGUGGGGAGCGAACAGG
rnacentral:rRNA from 1 species